CCUACGGGUGGCAGCAGUGAGGAAUAUUGGUCAAUGGGCGCGAGCCUGAACCAGCCAAGUCGCGUGCGGGAUGACGGCCCUACGGGUUGUAAACCUCUUUUGCCGGGGAGCAACGGGCGCCACGUGUGGCGCCACUGAGAUUACCCGUAGAAAAAGCAUCGGCUAACUCCGUGCCAGCAGCCGCGGUAAUACGGAGGAUGCGAGCGUUAUCCGGAUUUAUUGGGUUUAAAGGGUGCGUAGGCGGACUGUUAAGUCAGCGGUAAAAGCCCGGGGCUAAACCCGGGCGGGCCGUUGAAACUGGCUGUCGUGAGAUGUCGAGAGGUAUGCGGAAUGCGCAGUGUAGCGGUGAAAUGCUUAGAUAUUGCGCAGAACUCCGAGUGCGAAGGCAGCAGACCGGCGGCGAUCUGACGCUGAGGCACGAAAGCGUGGGUAUCGAACAGGAGUAGAUACCCUGGUAGUC
rnacentral:rRNA from 1 species